ensembl:piRNA 21ur-10917 ncRNA
UUGUUUUUAACAGUUUUUAAC